rnacentral:rRNA from 1 species
UACAGAGGUCUCGAGCGUUGUUCGGAUUCAUUGGGCGUAAAGGGCGCGUAGGCGGCGGGGUAAGUCUGGUGUGAAAUCGUCGGAGCUCAACUCCGAAACUGCACUGGAUACUGCUCUGCUAGAGGGCUGGAGAGGAGAUCGGAAUUCACGGUGUAGCAGUGAAAUGCGUAGAUAUCGUGAGGAAGACCAGUGGCGAAGGCGGAUCUCUGGACAGCUCCUGACGCUGAGGCGCGAAGGCUAGGGGAGCAAACGGG